ACAGUUGGAAACGACUGCUAAGACUGGAUAGGAAGUUUUAAGGCAUCUUGAAACUUUUAAAAGACCCGCAAGGGUAUGCUAAGAGAUGGGCUUGCGGCACAUUAGUUAGUUGGUAAGGUAACGGCUUACCAAGACUAUGAUGUGUAGCUGGACUGAGAGGUUGAACGGCCACAUUGGGAUUGAGAUACGGCCCAAACUCCUACGGGAGGCAGCAGUAAGGAAUUUUCGGCAAUGGAGGAAACUCUGACCGAGCAACGCCGCGUGAACGAUGAAAUAUUUAGGUAUGUAAAGUUCUUUUAUUAAAGAAGAAAAAAUGAUGGAAAAAUCAUUCUGACGGUAUUUAAUGAAUAAGCCCCGGCUAACUAUGUGCCAGCAGCUGCGGUAAUACAUGGGGGGCAAGCGUUAUCCGGAUUUAUUGGGCGUAAAGGGUGUGUAGGCGGUUUAAUAAGUCUAUGGUAUAAGUUCAACGCUUAACGUUGUGAUGCUAUGGAAACUGUUUGACUAGAGUUGGAUAGAGGCAAGUGGAAUUCCAUGUGUAGCGGUAAAAUGCGUAAAUAUAUGGAGGAACACCAGUAGCGAAGGCGGCUUGCUGGGUCUUAACUGACGCUGAGGCACGAAAGCGUGGGGAGCAAACAGGAUUAGAUACCCUGGUAGUCCACGCCGUAAACGAUGAGUACUAAGUGUUGGGUUAAACCAGUGCUGAAGUUAACACAUUAAGUACUCCGCCUGAGUAGUACGUACGCAAGUAUGAAACUUAAAGGAAUUGACGGGACUCCGCACAAGCGGUGGAUCAUGUUGUUUAAUUCGAAGAUACACGAAAAACCUUACCAGGUCUUGACAUACUCUGCAAAGCUAUAGAAAUAUAGUGGAGGUUAUCAGGGAUACAGGUGGUGCAUGGUUGUCGUCAGCUCGUGUCGUGAG
rnacentral:rRNA from 1 species